GUCUAUAGCCAUAACACCCUGAAUGCACCUGAUCUUGUCUGAUCUUGGAAGCUAAGCAGAGUCGGGCCUCGUUAGUACUUGGAUGGCAGAGAGAGAGGACGUAACGGGAGGGGCAGAGA
rfam:Felis catus isolate Cinnamon breed Abyssinian chromosome E1, whole genome shotgun sequence.